CUCUAUGGUCAUACCACCCUAAAUGAGCCCAAUCUCGUCUGAUCUAUGAAGCCAAGUACGGUCAGGCAUGGUUAGUACUUGAAUGGGAGACAAUUUCUUUUAACACUAGAUU
rnacentral:rRNA from 1 species